rnacentral:rRNA from 1 species
GAUGAACGCUGGCGGCGUGCCUAAUACAUGCAAGUCGAGCGAACAGACGAGGAGCUUGCUCCUCUGACGUUAGCGGCGGACGGGUGAGUAACACGUGGAUAACCUACCUAUAAGACUGGGAUAACUUCGGGAAACCGGAGCUAAUACCGGAUAAUAUAUUGAACCGCAUGGUUCAAUAGUGAAAGACGGUUUUGCUGUCACUUAUAGAUGGAUCCGCGCCGCAUUAGCUAGUUGGUAAGGUAACGGCUUACCAAGGCAACGAUGCGUAGCCGACCUGAGAGGGGGAUCGGCCACACUGGAACUGAGACACGGUCCAGACUCCUACGGGAGGCAGCAGUAGGGAAUCUUCCGCAAUGGGCGAAAGCCUGACGGAGCAACGCCGCGUGAGUGAUGAAGGUCUUCGGAUCGUGAAACUCUGUUAUUAGGGAAGAACAAAUGUGUAAGUAACUAUGCACGUCUUGACGGUACCUAAUCAGAAAGCCACGGCUAACUACGU